rnacentral:misc_RNA from 1 species
UCUCCGUAGGUGAACCUGCGGAGGGAUCAUUACCGAGUGAGGGCUCACGCCCGACCUCCAACCCUGUGUGAACACAUCUUGUUGCUUCGGGGGCGACCCUGCCGGCACUCGGUCGCCGGGCGCCCCCGGAGCCCAUCAAACCCUGCGUAACUAAGUCGUCGGAGUUUAAACAAAUUAAACAAAACUUUCAACAACGGAUCUCUUGGUUCGGGCAUCGAUGAAGAACGCAGC